GGGGAAUCUUCCGCAAUGGGCGCAAGCCUGACGGAGCAACGCCGCGUGAGUGACGAAGGUCUUCGGAUUGUAAAACUCUGUCCAUAGGGAAGAACCAACUGACGGUACCUUUGGAGGAAGCCCCGGCUAACUACGUGCCAGCAGCCGCGGUAACACGUAGGGGGCGAGCGUUGUCCGGAAUUACUGGGCGUAAAGGGCGUGUAGGCGGCCAAGUAAGUCAGUCGUGAAACCCAGCGGCUUAACCGCUGGCUUGCGAUAGAAACUGCCUGGCUUGAGUGCAGUAGAGGGGAGUGGAAUUCCCAGUGUAGCGGUGAAAUGCGUAGAUAUUGGGAGGAACACCAGUGGCGAAAGCGGCUCCCUGGCCUGCAACUGACGCUGAGGCGCGAAAGCGUGGGUAGCAAAC
rnacentral:rRNA from 1 species